AAUUAAAUUCAUAGGAGAAACUGACGGAGUUUUCUCUAAUUUAUUUUAAAAUAUAAUGAGUUCAAACUUUUAAAAGGAUAAAGUAAGAUAAGAUAGGGUGCUCUGACACUAAGUGUGACAUGCCUUACUCGGCUACACUGUAGAAGGGUAAGGGGUGUGUCACCAAACAUGCGGCUCUUGAUAGCAUGGACUGCUGCUUCUACUUCCUCACGAAAACGUGCUUGCUUAAGCUCUAUUCGCUGAUCUACCCGAUCAUCCACCUG
rnacentral:misc_RNA from 1 species